UGCUGGCCCCUUGCAGUCAUGGGAGCUGGUGCGGGCUUUUGGGUCUGCACGGAUGCCUCAGUCUGUCCGCCCGCCCUUGCCUGCCUCUGCCCUCGGGAGUCACAUCCGCGCAGGUCCAAUCAGAACCGCGCCCUGACGCUCCCGGCUCCCUGGGUCUGGGCUUGAGCAGAGAAGAGAAAGAGGAAAGAGAAAACCGAGCCUUGGAGAAAUGAAGUCAUCUGGCCGAUAGGUGUCAGCGAUUCAAACUCAGACCCUGGGAAACUGGACGACGUGUUCCCAGAAGGAGAACAGGCCCUGGAGAUAAGGCAGCCCAAAGCCCAGGUCAAGGACAGAAGCUAUCUGAAGGGAGACGGUGUUCCCGGCUAAUCUUUGCAGCUCUCUGGGGCUGAUCUUUGCAAAGACGAUGAAAGGAGGCAGACCCCGGGGAACUCACUAACUUUAGAUUUUUAUAUAAGAGCUUGUUUAAAAUGAAAUGUCAGAGCAGAACUUCCACACUGGCUGACUGCUCUCCAUAUGCUGCUGGCCUUACUGGGAUAAAUGCUCAGACAUGAUUUAACCCUGCUUCUGCUUAAUUUGACUCACGGAGCGACAGGCAGCUUCACACCUGUUGUGUCCGGUAUCAAAAUAGUCCCGGGUACUAUUUUUUAUUUUUAUAUUGUGGUAAACUACAUAUAGCAUAUAACAUCAUUUUAGCCAUUUAAAGUGUAUAAUUCAGUUACAUUUAGCACAUUCACAAUGUUGUGUGAAUAUCUAGCUGCAUAACACUUAUCUACCCUUAAAAGGAGACUCGUCCUGGUGGGUGGUGGCUCGGUUGGUUGGAGCGUCAUCCCGUGCACCGGGUUUGAUUCCUGGUCAGAGAACAGGGUUCAAUUGGUUUGAACCCCAAUUGGGAGGCAACCAAUUGAUGUUUCUCUCUCACAUCAAUGUUCCUCUCUCUCUUUCUUUCCUUCUCCCUCUCUUUCUAAAAUCAGGUUUUUAAAAAGCAUAU